rfam:Agrilus planipennis Contig32021, whole genome shotgun sequence.
ACACAACCACAUAAAAUUCUGAUCAUCAGUUGGCUGAAGAGGAACUUAAUUGAUCCUAUAACGGCCUGAAGUAGAGGGGUUUUAGUCGGUAGGUCUGAGGACACCUUCCUCGGGAAUCUGACACUACCCAGUCGUGCGGACGGCUGGGUGUCUUUUGAAGAUUUCCCCUCUUCC